GUGGAUAUUUGGUGCCAGCACAUACACACUAAGUGCAGAGGGUGUGGUCGAGACCAGAAAUGGUGACGUCACCUGUGUACAAGGGGUGUCAGGAGUGCACAGAACAGAGGGAAAUGGAGGAGAAAGGGAGAUGGACACUGUGCUAAAUCCUCCAGAAUAAGGAAGCUGUCAAUCAUGCCUACACACCAAGAAUACAUCAUCAUAAAUCCAGGUUUUCGUCUGUGAACUAACCUGCCCCCUUUUUUCUGUUUAUCUCUUUCCCUCCUGCUGCGACGUCUCUUCAGAACACAACCACCUGAACAACGCAGCCCUGUCCCCACUGGGUCCCGCCAUGGCGCUGUCUCACCCUCACAACAACCUGGGCAUCGGCUUCAACAAGUACACGUCACUCAAAACCAUGGACACUGGACCCAGAGACUAUUACAAGAGCUACCCCAUGAUGGACUACAGCCCACGCCAGACCACCAGCCCACCCACCUUCCAACCCAUCGCCUUCCACCCCAAAGACAAGCCCUUCCUGCCUCCUCCAGAUAUCCACGCCCCCUUGGCCAUCACCAUCACUCCGGCCCAGCUGCCCAAGCCCAAGAUCUCCAAGACCAACACCCACCCGCUCACCUCCAGCUCGGCCUUCAAAGCCUGGGACCCCAGUAAGAGCCACAUGCAGCACCAGGUCCCCCACCUGGGGGGACAGCAGCAGCAGCAGCAGCCGCCGCAGUCUCAGGCCAACAGCCGCCAUCAGGCCUACGCCAGCAAGCGGCAGUUCAGCAUCGAGACGCUGCCGGAGCUCUUCUCACAGCCUCUGGGCUACGGACAGUCCCCACACUUGCACCCCAAGCACAAAGGACUCCCCACAAACAGUAAGACUGAGGUGACGGUCUGAGGGCGAACAGAGAGGCGGGAGAAUGAGAGACGCCAGAGCGGAGCACCUCUUGCCUUUGGUUGGCGAUGACAACACGAAUAAAUUAAAAAAAAAAAAAAAAAAAGUCUUACUCCCAUGAUUCCCCUUGUUCCCCCGCCGCCCUAGUCCUGGCCAAAUGGCGGCACGUGCUCGCAGCCUGUCAGCGGCCCACACUCUGAAGCCCGCAGCGUGGACCGUGCCAUCGCGCCGUUGUCACCAGUCAGCAGCGCGAGGCGUCACCCUGACAAGUCUGUGCGGCGGCGUGGCGCCCGUCAGGCCGCGCCAGGAUCCGGGUCUUCGUGUCACCGUGCCAGACACCGGCUCCACAGUGACUCGCCCGCUGUUUCGGGUGUCUGGUGCAAGAGCUCGUGGAGGAAGACUUGCAUCCACCAAUAUGUCCAGCGAAUCAUUUCAACGCAUGCAAAGCUACUUCCUGUACGCGCUGUACAACUAACACGGAUACGAAUAUUUUAUUGUAUGCUUAUUUACGACUCCUUUAUAUGAGAAAGAAAGGUUGCCGACUGCUGCGAAAUUAGCACCAGCACCCCAUCGGCAAUCGAUCUGCAGCACCCUUGCAUGCGCAGUCGGUUACCAAGCCAUUACUUUUGCAUGGUCAAGAUCUGCCUCUAGAUACCAACCAACAUCCUUCAGCCAGCACCUCCUACACCUCCAGCGCCGAGGUAUGAGGGGCGCAACACCUACCAGAACCUUCAUCGAUCUGGUAGGACAUGAUGAGGGAUGUGGACUCUGUUCCUCAGCGUUCUCCUGGCCCUCUGGCAGCACCGUGCACCAUUGUGGGGUCCAUGCCACAAUACCCACAUACAAGGACAGGCCGCUAAACAAGGGCCUACGGAGCACCGACUGCUUUGAAGUUAUUAAAAGCGUGAUUGCUAUGCAAAAAGAAUUGCAUUUUACUUUUAGCAAGGAAGACAAGCGCAUAUUUACGCCAGCCAUACAAUGCAAGCCGUAGAUGUUUACCAGCACUGCCCAGGAGCCACACUGGAGAAGGAACGUGGAACAGACGCUGGCAACACCGUAAUCUUUACAUAUUCGCUGAAGAUAAAAACAUGUUUACGCACAUCCUAUAGCCAAUCACACGGACAUCUCUCCAUCUCUUCCUCCAGCUGUUGAAGAACUGCACUACCCUGAGACUCUACAGCUGAGACUCUUCACCUGGUGUGUGGGCAUGAGGGAGACCAUUUAUCCCUCAGAUCUCUGCCAAAAACAUGUGACAGUGUGAACCCUUUAGCAAAAUGUUCCAGGCUAACAGCUCCCUAAAAGCUCCUUCUGGUCCCGGCGCCUCACAUUCGGGGUGGAACUAGAGGCGUUUGAGGCGUGAACAUUAAGAAACUUUUGAAAAACUGCUUCUCAGUCUCCUCAGCAAGGCUGAAAACGGCAUUUCAGGCAAUAAGGGUGAAAUACUCUGGGGACGGUUUUACCUGUCCGUGCAAAAGGCAGACUUUAAUGUCCUCUAGAAGAGCAGACAUGACCGGGGGGGGGCCUGUCCGCUGCACAGAAGUCACUUUUGUCACUCGACUUGCCGGGGCCAGCUGACCACAUGGCUCCAGCCGUGUUUUGCAGGUGUCAGAACCCUCAAGGUUUGUCCGUGGGAUAGAAAACUGAGAUAGAAACACUGAGCAAUCACAGACCCCAGAGUCCUUUUCGCUGCGCAGCGCGUGGACAUACCUGUGAGGACCUCCUGUCCAAGUGCACUGAAGGACAAGGGUGUGGGACCAAAACGACCUGAAAUCAUGUGAGGUUGAGUACAUGCAUGCACCCUGGUGCUUUUUAACCAACGGCGCGCUGUACAUAUUUGUUUGUGGUGAAGAACUCUGGUCCACCAGAGGGGCAUGCAUACUCAAUCUCUGGUGAUUGCUUUGGAAAAAAAGAGCUAAAUGACUGUUUCCUUUGUAAAACUUGCCCGAGCACAAGUAUCCUACAUGAGCUCAGAAUGCAGCCUUGUAGGCCAUACUUGUGGUCCCUCUGCAGCAAUAUACUGUACACUGAUUUUCUUCUCGGUUUUGUAUGCUCUUCGUAUAUCCAAGGUUGUGUCAAAUAUGUAGCACUUGACAAAAACGUAGCAGGCGAAGUGCUUCCAAAUUUUUCAAUGCACUUUUGAGCAAGUCCCCUCCUGUCCUUGAACGUAUCUUGCUGUAUUUGAUGCUUGGGGCCACUUACGGGUCCACCUGUGUGAUACAUACGUCCAUGUAAUCGAAAUCGCAUCGUGCUCCAGCGCUUGGGCUACAUGUUAGUUAGAUUUGUCGUGUGCCGUGUAAAUCUGCCCGUCGCCAGUUCUUCCGUGGUGGACUUUCUUAAGCGUUGUUUCUACAAGGGCUUUCAACAGAGAAUUCGUUCCCCUCUGGCUCGGAGAGGGGGAAGAAAGCACUCCUUCAUCUCACAGGCUGCUGGAAGGUUAACCCAGAUUGCCACGUCAAAGCUAAUCUGCUCAGACGUCGUCUCGGAUUCGGCUGCGCGCAGUUCUGUGGGUCAUUAUCUGGCAAAAGCGUUUAAGACCUCAGGAAAACGAGAGCUUUUCUGACAACCUUCAAGGCCCAAGUGAAGGGUCUCUUGUCAUCGGCCCGUGAGCCCCCACCAUCUGUUUUCAGCAGCACCAUGGAGUCCCUGAAAAUCUCCCCAAAAUUGAAAACGUAUUUGGUUUUGUAAGCUGUAUGGGCGGCACCACUCUGGGACCAAACCGCAACCCGAGAAAAACAUUUAACGUACACUGCCUGGGUGGUGGGGGGCGCCGUUUGUACCACAAACUUACUAUCAAACAUGUUGAAGACCCACAUAAGGCCUCCAAAGAGCCGCCCAGCGCCUGCAGGACUUCUGGUACGCUGGACGCAUCACACGUGCCGUCGUACCAGGUUGCUGUACCAUGAUGAUGAUCAUGAUGAUGAUGGUGUUAAAAAAUCCUCCCAAAGAUGUUGAGAGCUGAGAUCUGCUGACUGAAGGUCAUAUCAUACGAUCGCCAUCAUUUUCACACUCAUCAACCAAUCCGUGAUGCUUGUGUCUGGUGGACGGGGGUGUGGCCUUCGCAGGAUAAACCAAUCGGUAGCAACCAUUAUAUUGAUUGGCAGGGAUACCAGAGCUUUUGGGCCAUUUUGGAGUGCCUCCAACUGGACAACAUGCAUUUUGGGCCACCCGACAGCCCCGCCCCUUCCUUCCUUCAUCAGAACGGCGUCCUUCUCCUUCAAAUGCAGUCCUUUGUCCCCAAAUGCAUUAGAGCAUGGCACUUCUCCAAACACCGCCCCUUUCUUCUCGUUUUCCCCUCUACAAACACCAAGACGCUCAGACUCACCUACAAAACACGAUCCGUCUCACAUGCAGCUACUACUUAUUAUUAUUAUUAAGCACAGAGAAAUCAUCAGAAUCAGUGAUUUUACCUUUAUAUUCAAGCAGAAAUGAUCAAUAUGAAUGAAAUUGGGCCAUCUGGGUCUGUUUGGGGCUUCAAGGUCACCCACUCCUCCUCUCCCUGCAUGGACUGGUGGGCACCCAGCUGCUGCUGCGUCUUCAGGGCCUGCACUACAUCCAUCCGCGUGGGAGAAGGGAGGAGAGGAAUCACCGCGACACCAGUCGCCCAAGGCUCAUCUGCCGCCUGUCCACCCUCUGUGCUUUUUAUUCUUCUGCCCUCCAUCCUCCUCCUCUUUUUGUCUCAUCCCAUGUUCUUCCACUACAGUAGAGGACUGCGUCAGACAAAGCAAAAUAAGAAGAACCGCCCGUAGGUUGUCCUGCAGGUCCUGGGUUCAGGUUCAGGUUUGUGUUGAGUGCAAUAAAAAGCUUCCACUUUCAGGGAAUAACGGAGCUGGAAGGACUGUGCUGAACUGUGGUGGAGCUCCUGGUGAUGUUCAACCAGGUCCAUGAAGAACCUUCACAUACCGAAGCCACAAAGAAAGACAUAAACCACCACCGAUCACGGCUCAGUUUCUAAGCAUAAAGAGUCAACGUCAG
ensembl:lncRNA